ACUCUACUCUCUACUGUUCACAUGUCACAUAAAUCAAUAUUGUCAUUCAUCUAAAACAAUCAAAAUCUUCACAUGCAAAUGUCAUCACAAGGACUUUUUCCAAAGCUUGUAUUGUGGCUGGGCUAUCAAGAAAAUUGGUUUUUCUGGAAUACAAAAUCCUUGAGUUAAGAAAGUUUAAAUCAUCAUUCAAAGUUCAAGCAUACUCUCUUUUUAACCAAUCUCACUCAUUCCCAACUUCUUCCCUUUUUCCUUUUACAUUGAGUUCACUUUACAUGCUUUUUCUUUUUUCUUCUUUUCUUUUCUUUCUCAUGCAUUUUUCUUUUUCAUCUUUUGAACUCAAUGUUUUUCUUUUUCUUUUUCCUUUCC
rnacentral:lncRNA from 1 species